ACGAACGCUGGCGGCGUGCUUAACACAUGCAAGUCGAACGGAAAGGCCCUGCUUUUGUGGGGUGCUCGAGUGGCGAACGGGUGAGUAACACGUGAGUAACCUGCCCUUGACUUUGGGAUAACUUCAGGAAACUGGGGCUAAUACCGGAUAGGAGCUCCUGCUGCAUGGUGGGGGUUGGAAAGUUUCGGCGGUUGGGGAUGGACUCGCGGCUUAUCAGCUUGUUGGUGGGGUAGUGGCUUACCAAGGCUUUGACGGGUAGCCGGCCUGAGAGGGUGACCGGCCACAUUGGGACUGAGAUACGGCCCAGACUCCUACGGGAGGCAGCAGUGGGGAAUAUUGCACAAUGGGCGGAAGCCUGAUGCGGCAACGCCGCGUGCGGGAUGACGGCCUUCGGGUUGUAAACCGCUUUCGCCUGUGACGAAGCGUGAGUGACGGUAAUGGGCAAAGAAGCACCGGCUAACUACGUG
rnacentral:rRNA from 1 species